rnacentral:tRNA from 1 species
GCCUUCGUGGUGUAGUGGUCUGCACGCUGGGCGCUUAUUCCAGAGGUCCGCGGUUCGAUUCCCGGCGAAGGCG